rnacentral:rRNA from 1 species
AUUGAACGCUGGCGGCAUGCCUUACACAUGCAAGUCGAACGGCAGCACGGGUGCUUGCACCUGGUGGCGAGAGGCGAACGGGUGAGUAAUACAUCGGAACGUACCUUAUCGUGGGGGAUAACGCAGCGAAAGCUGUGCUAAUACCGCAUACGCCCUGAGGGGGAAAGCGGGGGAUCGAAAGGCCUCGCGCGAUUAGAGCGGCCGAUGCCUGAUUAGCUUGUUGGUGGGGUAAAAGCCCACCAAGGCGACGAUCAGUAGCUGGUCUGAGAGGACGAUAAGCCACACUGGGACUGAGACACGGCCCAGACUCCUACGGGAGGCAGCAGUGGGGAAUUUUGGACAAUGGGGGCAACCCUGAUCCAGCAAUGCCGCGUGAGUGAAGAAGGCCUUCGGGUUGUAAAGCUCUUUUGUCAGGGAAGAAACACCGGCUCUAACACAGUCCGGGAAUGACGGUACCUGAAGAAUAAGCACCGGCUAACUACGUGCCAGCCGCCGCAGUAA